rnacentral:rRNA from 1 species
AGUGAACGCUGGCGGUAGGCCUAACACAUGCAAGUCGAACGGCAGCACAGUAAGAGCUUGCUCUUACGGGUGGUGAGUGGCGGACGGGUGAGGAAUACAUCGGAAUCUACUUUUUCGUGGGGGAUAACGUAGGGAAACUUACGCUAAUACCGCAUACGACCUACGGGUGAAAGCAGGGGAUCUUCGGACCUUGCGCGAUUGAAUGAGCCGAUGUCGGAUUAGCUAGUUGGCGGGGUAAAGGCCCACCAAGGCGACGAUCCGUAGCUGGUCUGAGAGGAUGAUCAGCCACACUGGAACUGAGACACGGUCCAGACUCCUACGGGAGGCAGCAGUGGGGAAUAUUGGACAAUGGGCGCAAGCCUGAUCCAGCCAUACCGCGUGGGUGAAGAAGGCCUUCGGGUUGUAAAGCCCUUUUGUUGGGAAAGAAAAGCAGCAGGUUAAUACCCCGCUGUUCUGACGGUACCCAAAGAAUAAGCACCGGCGAACUUCGU